GAUGAACGCUGGCGGCGUGCCUAAUACAUGCAAGUCGAGCGAACAGACGAGGAGCUUGCUCCUCUGACGUUAGCGGCGGACGGGUGAGUAACACGUGGAUAACCUACCUAUAAGACUGGGAUAACUUCGGGAAACCGGAGCUAAUACCGGAUAAUAUAUUGAACCGCAUGGUUCAAUAGUGAAAGACGGUUUUGCUGUCACUUAUAGAUGGAUCCGCGCCGCAUUAGCUAGUUGGUAAGGUAACGGCUUACCAAGGCAACGAUGCGUAGCCGACCUCAGAGGGUGAUCGGCCACACUGGAACUGAGACACGGUCCAGACUCCUACGGGAGGCAGCAGUAGGGAAUCUUCCGCAAUGGGCGAAAGCUUGACGGAGCAACGCCGCGUGAGUGAUGAAGGUCUUCGGAUCGUAAAACUCUGUUAUUAGGGAAGAACAAAUGUGUAAGUAACUAUGCACGUCUUGACGGUACCUAAUGAGAAAGCCACGGCUAACUACGUG
rnacentral:rRNA from 1 species